rnacentral:rRNA from 1 species
UCUUCCCUCUUUCUUCGUGCCUAAUACAUGCAAGUCGAGCGAACAGACGAGGAGCUUGCUCCUCUGACGUUAGCGGCGGACGGGUGAGUAACACGUGGAUAACCUACCUAUAAGACUGGGAUAACUUCGGGAAACCGGAGCUAAUACCGGAUAAUAUAUUGAACCGCAUGGUUCAAUAGUGAAAGACGGUUUUGCUGUCACUUAUAGAUGGAUCCGCGCCGCAUUAGCUAGUUGGUAAGGUAACGGCUUACCAAGGCAACGAUGCGUAGCCGACCUGAGAGGGUGAUCGGCCACACUGGAACUGAGACACGGUCCAGACUCCUACGGGAGGCAGCAGUAGGGAAUCUUCCGCAAUGGGCGAAAGCCUGACGUAGCAACGCCGCGUGAGUGAUGAAGGUCUUCGGAUCGUAAAACUCUGUUAUUAGGGAAGAACAAAUGUGUAAGUAACUAUGCACGUCUUGACGGUACCUAAUCAGAAAGCCACGGCUAACUACGUG